ACAAUAGAAUCGGUUUUCUCAAGGGUGGUCGGCUCAUCCCGCUUGAAAGGGGGUGAUGCCGUAUGACAGUUUUCGAAUCUUUGAUGGCAAUGUUUGCGUUUACAAGCCUCAUCGUUGCAGUCCUGUCGUUUAACCAAAAAAAAUAAUCCACCCUUGAGUUAACGGCUCAGGUGGAUUAUCCCCUAAAAAUAGCCGAUCCCCUUAGAGGGACCAUCUAUUGUAUGGCCGAACAUGCAGCAACAUGUUCG
rnacentral:sRNA from 2 species